rnacentral:rRNA from 1 species
CUGCAGCCCGAGUGGUGAUCGAUUUUAUUGAGCCUAAAGCGUCCGUAGCCGGACUAGUAAACCCUUGGGUAAAUUGGGCAGCUUAACUGUCCGAAUUCCGAGGGGACUGCUAGUCUUGGGACCGGGAGAGGUCAGAGGUACUCCAGGGGUAGGGGCUAAAUCCUGUAAUCCUUGGGGGACCACCAGUGGCGAAGGCGUCUGACUAGAACGGAUCCGACGGUAAGGGACGAAACCCUGGGGCGCGAACCGGAUUAGAGACCCGCGUAGUCC